ensembl:ncRNA lncRNA:CR43451 long non-coding RNA:CR43451
GCCCCAAAAAAUCCUUUACUUAGCACUAAUUCAAUCUUGGCUUUUUAACUCAAUAUUUAUGUACAACUAGCUACAGUUUAAGUCAAAAUUACGCUUAUUAGUGGCAAUCAAAACGGCGCUGCUUAACUUCAAUAUGGAUCUCGAUCAAUCACCCAGCCGGAGAUGGAGGCUGGGAGACAGAAACCGACCUAGAGACAGGGACACACACAUCUGGAACACGCCUCCGAUUGAAGGAGUGCGAUUAUAUCAUACAAAUUAAUAGAGGAGUGCGGGACAGGCGGAGAUAUGAAUCGAUUGGACACGUACCGAUGUUUGGCAACGACACAACGGCAACGGCAAUAGUUGCAGUUGCAAUGGGAGAGGAGAAUCGAAAGUAGACCCAACAAAUUUGCACGCACCAAAUGCAGGUGCAAAAAACUAUGCGAGCCUAUUAAUUAGAUCAGCGGGCUUAUGGGCAUGUCUGCGCCAUAUAUCUUGUUCCCGACGUCAUCAUAACGCUAACUAUGAGCGCCACAAAAACGGAACCCGCAUCAUCAUCAUCAUCAUCAUGAUCGGCCUCGUCCAGACCAACGGACAACGUUUGAUCUUUUGCCAGCAGUGUGUACCCGAAUCACAGUACUGAGCCCCAGCCCAAAGUCGCACCACCAAACCCUGAGAUGGAACCACUUGCACCAUGUGGCGCCUGGCUGGAUACGACCAAAACGACGGCGUUAGAUGGCGCCUGUUCGGACCACUAACCGAACCGAUUCGUUAAUACCAAAUGGGCAUCGAAGGUGGUUGUAAAACUGCUUCACAUGCGGUUGAUACCUAGUCACACAUCCACAGAAUAUCUCUCUUUUUGGGUCCGGUUAAUUGAGUUAUUUAUUUAGUUAGUACAUCUGCACGAAGAUGAUCUGUUUGUUUAGGCUUGUUUAAUGACAAUAAAUUAUAACAAAAAAGG